UGAUGUCGUAAUCGGUUAGACAAGUGCAUCGACACAAAGUAGGCGAAGUCUCAGAUGCUGUACUUGAACCCUGAGAAAAGACAACUGUCAAAUGUAGAUUGUUACUAAUCAUGAGUUGUAGCCUCUGAAAAAAACAAACCAACUGUAGCUGGCCCUUCUUGAUCAAUCUGACCGAUCAAUCUGGCUGAGAACUGAAAGACGUAACACGCUGGAAGAAUCUGUCCCUCGUCUUUCAGCGUGGCUCUUACAUCUUGGGUUAGGUUCGUGACGUCAUCUGGAGCAUUUUCUUCUACUUUUCCUCUCUAAAUUUUACACGCUUCCUGAGCUUCCUGAGUCAUUUCCUGUCUGAUCUCUUGGAUUCUAGUCUCUCCUUCUGGCCCCACCGCUAUCUCACGUCGUUCCUACUUUUUCUAAUGAUCUUCUCGAAUACCUGAAACGCGGCGCAUUGCCUGUGGUAGAAUGGAUUAUUGUUCCCUCUUCAUCAUUCCUCCGGUUUUCCCUGGAAUUCUGUAGUGCCUUCCACUAUGGACUUGG
rnacentral:lncRNA from 1 species